CUAAAGAGCAAAUUGAAUGCUACUUAGCAUUUCUAGAGCUUCACGCUGAAAUGAAGCUCCAGAAAACGAUCCCACGCGACCCAAAAGGUUAGAAGAGCUUUGGGUCGAGCGAAAGGUCCAUCACGUUCGCCUACCAAAUGGAAGGAGUGUUUAAACCAUUGGAAAAACCAGAUUCGCUCAAGGGCAAGAAAGGCGAAUGUAAAUAAAAUAUUGACAGGUGGAGGACCAAUGCAGGAAAUUCAAUCCUCCUAGUUGGAAAAGUGGGCGAUGGAAACACUAGGAAGGACCGUGGUUGAUGGACGGCCUGAUGUCCCAACUAUUGGAAUAGAGAACGAAAUUAUAAUCAAUAUAGUUCCGCAGAGUCCGUCAGUAAGCGAGAUGCCAUCAACUUCACGUUCUUGAAGGCAGACUUCACAAGAAAUGUUUGCUGACAUGAUGGCUACGAUGAAGAGGAGGAGCGAAGAAGAGGCAAAAUUAAGAGAGACAUCGCAACAAUGCUCCCAAAAUGUUGCGGAGUCUUUAAACAAUAUGGCAAAUGCUAUUUUAAAGCUGUCGGAAGCUGUUUUAAAAAAAAAUUGAAAAGAUAUAUGUUUAUGUUAAA